rnacentral:rRNA from 1 species
GGUUCAUUCAAAUUUCUGCCCUAUCAACUUUCGAUGGUAGGAUAGUGGCCUACCAUGGUUUCAACGGGUAACGGGGAAUUAGGGUUCUAUUCCGGAGAGGGAGCCUGAGAAACGGCUACCACAUCCAAGGAAGGCAGCAGGCGCGCAAAUUACCCAAUCCCGACCGGGGAGGUAGUGACAAUAAAUACUGAUACAGGGCUCUUUUGGGUCUUGUAAUUGGAAUGAGUACAAUUUAAAUCCCUUAACGAGGAACAAUUGGAGGGCAAGUCUGGUGCCAGCAGCCGCGGUAAUUCCAGCUCCAAUAGCGUAUAUUAAAGUUGUUGCAGUUAAAAAGCUCGUAUUG